GACAGAGGGUGCAAACGUUGUUCGGAAUUACUGGGCGUAAAGCGAGUGUAGGCGGUUCGCUAAGUCGGGUGUGAAAGCCCCGGGCUCAACCCGGGAAGUGCACUCGAAACUGGCGGGCUAGAGUAUCGGAGAGGUUGGUGGAAUUCUCGGUGUAGAGGUGAAAUUCGUAGAUAUCGAGAGGAACACCGGUGGCGAAGGCGGGUCGCUGGGCAGUAACUGACGCUGAGGAGCGAAAGCGUGGGGAGCGAAC
rnacentral:rRNA from 1 species